rnacentral:ncRNA from 1 species
AUCAUUGCGUUGAUAAAGAGGAGUAGACAUGCUGAGUAGUUUUAGAGAACUGAUGGUUGGUGGGAAUCAGUCUACUUUCAUGUUGAAUGGACUUUGGAGCUUUCAAGCUGAACAUUAAAGUAGGCUUAGACGAAACGCCUUAUCGUUACAAAAGGCAGCGUAUCGAAAUGAUGUUUUAUUUCCGUACGUCGAUAAGUGCGUUUUUUGAAAAAAAAAACGAAUCAAGGUGGCACCACGGGUUUCUCGUCCUUAUU